AACGAACGCUGGCGGCAUGCCUAACACAUGCAAGUCGAACGAGACCUUCGGGUCUAGUGGCGCACGGUUGCGUAACGCGUGGGAACCUGCCCUUAGGUUCGGAAUAACUCCCCGACAGGGGUGCUAAUACCGGAUAAUGUCUUCGGACCAAAGAUUUAUCGCCUUUGGAUGGGCCCGCGUUGGAUUAGCUAGUUGGUAGGGUAAAAGCCUACCAAGGCGACGAUCCAUAGCUGGUCUGAGAGGAUGAUCAGCCACACUGGGACUGAGACACGGCCCAGACUCCUACGGGAGGCAGCAGUGGGGAAUAUUGGACAAUGGGCGAAAGCCUGAUCCAGCAAUGCCGCGUGAGUGAUGAAGGCCUUAGGGUUGUAAAGCUCUUUUACCCGGGAUGAUAAUGACAGUACCGGGAGAAUAAGCUCCGGCUAACUCCGUG
rnacentral:rRNA from 1 species